rnacentral:RNase_P_RNA from 2 species
GAGGGAAAUUGGGCGUCUACCCCAUUUUUGGGGAGGAAAGUCCUGACUCCAUAGAGCAUGGGACGGAGCGCAAGCUCCGACGCGCAAGCGCUGGUGGCCAAAUCCUUACCCAGUUAAACGGGAUUUGGCACCGACCGCGAUUCAACGCGGCCGGAGAGCAACAGAGACGAACUGGAAUGAAACGGGCAAUCCCACCAGGAGCAAUCCACGAACGAACCCUUGGAGGCGGCUCGCCGAAAGAAAAGUGAUGACAAUUUGGCCAACACUUAAUCUUAGGGUUCAAGGAUGGAGCGAAGAUAGAUAACGCCUAAAACAGAAUCAGGCUUACGGAUUUCCCCC